rnacentral:lncRNA from 1 species
CAGUGAGAGGAUGAAAAAAGUAUUGGUCUUUCAUUUGUAUAUGCAGUGUACAGAAUACGUGUACAGUAUUAAGUAUAGAAUUUUUUUUUUUUUAAUUCUGGGAGAUUUAUUUUCUUAGCCUCAAAUCCACUAGGAAAAAUUAGCAUUUUUAUCAGAACCAAACCAAGACUAAUCUUUGUUGUAUUUUCUUAAGUUACCAAAUGUAUGCUACAACAGCUUGGGGUCUUUUUAAGCAAUAUAUUAGCAAGCAAACAUUGUCUUGCUCUCAGAGGUCCUUCCAAAUCACAUUUAUUCUUGUCUUUGGUAUUUGAGGAUCCUAAUGAUACCACAAUGACACAAAUAAAAGAUGUUAUAUAAUAGCUGUACACGUGCAUUUCAGAUCCAGAAUUCGCUUCAUACUUCUCCCUGUAUCUCACUAGCAUGAGUGAUAAGCUCCUUUCUCCAAAUCUUACCUGGACUUCUUGUUCUAUAUGUUUUGAAUUACUCUGGGGGCCUAGAUUGUUUGACCUGUUUUGUGUGGAUUGCAUGGAAAACAUGGCAGUGAGCUGAGCCAGUGAGCCUACAUAAGAGCUUGCUUGGCAGCUGGUUAUUAUAACAAUAUAUAUCAACUAAGAGUCAGAAUGUGGAUGACUCCUGUGACGAGGGCAACAGAGAAGAUGCCGGAGAUUUGGGCUCUCAAAAGGCAAAAUGAAAGGACAACAGAGCCUCUUUUCUGUUGUACUAGGAAUUCAGACACCUCUAGACAAAGUCGCUAGAGUAAAAAGAGUCUCAAGGUGGCAGAUGUUUGGGUGAGGUGAGAAUCCUGGAUAAAAAGGAAGGACUCUUGGAAGUUGAUUCUGCAAAUCCCAAAAUAAUUCCUUUCUUCUCUCAUACAGUCAAUUUAGAGAAAGCGUCAGACGUUGUAUUAAGUGCUUUGCAAACACUGUAACUCAUGCCGUUCACACAUUAAUUCAGAGGUUUUUUUUUUUCUUCACUUUACCAGUGAAGAAACUGGGUCUCUGAAAGCCAAAGUCAUGAUUCCCAUUUAACAUUUUUUAGUCAUUUCAGAAGGUGUGACUCAAACCCGGACCUGUUGCCUCUAAAGCCAUGGUUGCCAGUUUUAGAUGUGUGCCUCUUUGAGAUGAAUUGCUCUUAUCUUGGAAAGUAGUAGAACUUUCAGCAAGGACCUUCAAGCAGAUUGCUGAGAUUCCCCAAAGCUGUUCCUGAUAAUAACGCCCACUCGUGCUGGGCCUUCGGUCACUGUGCGCCACGGUGAAGAAAAUGAGACCCUGCCAGGAUAUAAAACAAAGUGUAUUUCUUCCCAUUUCAACUUAAACCAGUUUUCAUAGGGUGAGUUCUUUGGGAUUGGUCGAGCUCCCUGCCAUGUGGUUCACAGUAGGCCUUUAUGUCCUCCUCUCAGCAUAAUUGGAAAUCCUUCCCUUUGGCUUGGGUUUUAAAGUUGUUUUCUUUCUUUCUUUUUCUUUUCUUUUCUUUUUUUUUUAAAUCUCUUGUCGAAGCACAUGUUAAAUGUGUCCAUGUUCUUUCCAUUAAAUAUCUUGGUUGCCUUCCCAGACUUGAAAUUGCAGUGAAUUUAUCCCCAAAGGAUGUUUGGUAUCAAUUCUCAAGAUGCAAUUUGAAUGUAGUCUGUUUCUGUAAUGGAAGCAGGAUUCCAAAUCUGCGUUUAAGUUCCAUAGAAAAUCAUGAAUCAUGCAAUGGCUGUUACUCAGCACUGUUCAGGUAUACUGAAUCCAUUGUUUUCUUGUCUUAUAGCUUUAGACCAGCUCAAAGGAUAAAACAGUAUAAAGAUUUAAUUUUAGGGCUGCAUAGGAGGCAUUAGAUUAUGAUUUCUAGCUACGCCAUGCUGAAUUCAGAUCUAUUAUAAUGAAGCUUUUUCUUUUUUUAACUAAGCAUUUUCCAUAAGGUAAAACUAAAAAUAAAUAACAACUGAAAAAUCCUGUUGAGUCCCAGAAUCAUUUACCCUAACAAUUGUAAUAGUUUCCUUGUUGUUACACUGUUUUCUGUGAUAAUGAUCCCUUUUUGUUAAACAUCCCAUCAUGUUGUCACCAUAUAAUAGGGAUUAGUGGUAUCAACUUCUUUUACAAAGAGGGAGUUAGUGGUGGUGCUAGUGAUAGCCGUAGCAUUAUUUAACUGGUGGCAUGCUUGGGUAGUUAGCUAUUCUCUUUGAAACUCCUAAUAAAGGCAUCAGGGGUGUCCUCAUCUUCCCCACCCAAGGGCAGCUGUGGUAGGAAGGAGGGACGGUAUUAGAAAGGAUUGCAUUUCAACACCUGAGCUUCCUUGCCACCUGCCUGCAGUGCAUACCUGCUGACUCCUACUCUUACUGUAGAGUAAAAUUACUUGUGUUUUCCUCGUUUACCCAACACGAUACAUCUGAAAUAUUUAGUUAUCCUCCUUCUGUCUUUCUUCUGUACUUUCUGGAGCAAUAACACAGGGCAUUGGGAAAGUAUGAAUUUUGUGGUCAAAACCCGCAUUCUCUUGGAUGAGCAUCUCACUUAUCUGACCUUCUGUGUUUUCUUGUGUAAAACCAGAAGAAUAAUACCAACCUUGCAGAGUUGAAACUUCGUAAAGAUGUGAGUUGAAGUGCUUUGGAAAUUGUACUUACCGUAUAUGAGUUAUUUUUACUGGCUGACUAGCUCUCUGACCCUCCUUUGUUCAGGAGGCUCCUCUAUCUUUUAAAUGGCUAAAUCCAUAGCCCUAUUCUUCUUGCAGCAUACUACGUUGGAGUUGCCCUUGUGAGAAGCAGCUUAAUUGCAGACCAACCAGGGUUGCUACAUGACCGGAUGCCAGGGGGGGCACUGUUCCCAUUGUGUUGAACUCAUGGUACCCCCCAAAACACAAUUUCAGUACUCAAAUCAAUGAGUCAAAUUCCAAGCACCUGCCUCUGUGAUUUCUGAUUUGCAGCUCAUAUUUGAAAUUACUGUUUUCUCAGCAUACAACAUUUUAAUACAUAGGGCAGAGCUUUUUCUGUUAACCCUCUUUCAAACUCUUUUGUUGGUCUUGAUGUCUGUGGUUUGGAGAACAACUGCCUUCCAAAGCUUCCUAAAGCAAAUUGUAGUUAUGCCCUUAGACGAUAGUUAGAGUUGGACCAAACCAGAAGGAGCAUCUAAGUUUGGUGAUCGUCCUGGCUGUCAUCUACAUGUGAUGUAGUCACAACCAGAAAGAAACUUCAUUUUAUGCUAGGUCGAUGUGAGGGAGAGGUAGCUAUGAACAUAAGAUGCUAGUACCUUCUGGCCAUGUCAAAUGAGCUAAACCCUUCCCCAAAAGCCAGCCAGGAAAACAUAUGAUACCAUUUGCAAUGGUAGAAUGUUGCAUGCUGUUCUUCUGUUAAUUAUAAUGGCCUGAUCCGUGUGGGGCGGGUGAGUCUUGCUUCACAAUCAUUAAUCUACUGAGUCUUGGUAUCAGCAGCCCAUCUUGAGGAGCAGCAGUACUUGGCUGGACGAGAAGGGCUUUGAUUUCAUUGUAAUAAGGAUAGCUUUGUUAAAAUUCUGCUGCUCGGUGGUGCCCAAGGAUUCUGGGAAGAGAAGGUUUUCCUUUUUUUUUCUUUCCUCUCCCCCCCCCUUUUUUUUUGCGUGGUGGGGAUGAAUUGUUUCUGUCUCUGCCAUCCCCUAGGUUACUAUUUAUGCUCUCCCUUGAUCUCCUGCUUGUCCCUUUAUUUCUCCAUGUUGUGAAAGUUUCUUUCUGUGUGACCAGGAGUCUGUUUAGCCGACCAUAUUGUGAGUGAAGGGCCAGCGUUUGUUGCCUGAUUUUGGCAAUGCUGGGCAGUCAGCUGGGAUGUAAUUAAGACUCUGAGAACAGGCUGUCUUCUCCACGGGAAGGGCAUGUUAGAUGGUGCUGGGAUUUGGGGCUGUCAGUUUGGCCAAGGCUGGAGACAGAGAGCUAGGGACACAGAUAUUUCCUUUCAUUUAUAAUCCCUUUAUGUACAGUGUAUGCACUUGGCGAAGUUUACAUAUAACCUAGUGGCUGGAGCUUACAAGCCAACGCAGUGAAAUUAGCAUAUGUUACAUGUAUAUUUUAGUAAUAUUUUAAAGCAAGUGCAUAUUUCCAAAGUGAAUUAUGCAUGGAUGACAGCAAUAGGGUUGUGUUGCACUGGGUGUCAAAUCCCACAACUUUUUGUCGAGACCGUGGAUUUUACACUAAAAAGGCAGAAAGACUAAACGAAGUAAAACAGUUUUAAUUUUUAACAGUUUGGUUCGGCCCAAGGAGCCAGGCUGUGACAGAUAUAACUGACAUUUGAAUAAUUGGAUUAAUUUAGAGAAGGGCAAAUCCGGUUUUGACGGUUGUGCUUGUGUGUAUGUCUUUUUUUUUUUUUUUUUUCCCUCCCCAGGAAUGGAGUUGUGGCUUAGAUAUGCACUUUAUGUGAUGGCAAGCAAAGCUUGAGGAAAUGCCACAAAAUGAUUAAAAUUGUCAUUUAAUUCGUUUGGUUUCACAUAAACGUGUAUAUGGGUGCGUGCAUUCUUACCACCUUGUAUAAAAGAAAUCCACAGCAUACACUUUAUUCACCUCCGUCAGUGGUGUACAUAUAUACAUAUUGCAUAUAUAAGCAAAUUAUAUAUGCUCUUGGGAACUUAGGAAAUACAAUGUGAAGAAAAUGUACACCAUUUCAGAGGCAGCAUAGAAAACGUGCAGACAAGGAAACUCACCAUGGCGUUGGCAAGCUCUCUCCCUCCCCGUAUCCUUGUGUUAUAAGCCAUCACAGUUCGGCAGAAGAGAAGCCUAAUUUGGUAUCUGGGGUAUCCGUAGCCAAAUUCCACAUGGUUAAGUCCUCAACCCUAAAUUCCUUCAGAUUUAUGUGUCUUUUUAAGCUUUUUUUUAUGGCGAUCAUCUCAGCAACUUGAAACCCAGCACAGCGCGGUUCACAACCCCCCUCCUCCAGAAAUUCUGUUAAUGAGAUACGCCGUCUAACGUCAGCAGGCCGAGACUAGAACUUGUGGCAGGCCGUCUUGAAUUGUGGCUCUGAAAUGGCUCUAAGAGCCUUUUCCCCAGCAGGACAUUAAUAGACAUUAACACCCGGGCAGGACGUGUUGAUGUGUGGUUUAUAAUGUUAGCACCCAGUUAGGCCGGUCUAACACAUGCUGUAGGAAUCUUGUACCGACACAUGUGUGUGUGGAGUCAGAUUAAUGAGAACCAUAAAAGGAGAGACAUUCCACUCAGGCUGGGGACCUCAUCCGAGCCUCCUUUCUUACCCUGCAAACCUGGUG